rfam:Thermoactinomyces sp. Gus2-1 c41, whole genome shotgun sequence.
CUCUUAUCCAGAGAGAGGGAGGGAACAGGCCUGAUGAUCUCUCGGCAACCCCCUGUUGGGUUUGAAGAACCCAUGGGAAGGUGCCAAUUCCUGCAGAGCUGUACACUGCUCUGACAGAUGAGAG